rnacentral:tRNA from 1 species
ACUCUUGUCGUCUAGCGGUUUAGGACAUCAGCCUUUCACGUUGAGUACGCGGGUUCGAAUCCCGUCAAGAGUACC